rnacentral:misc_RNA from 1 species
CUCCGUAAUUUAUUGUGAUAAAUUUACUUCUAAUCCAAUCCUUCACAACAUGACUGCCUCUGUUGUUUCAUCAUUUGACAGCAACAUUGACGAACAGACCAUCAGUCAGGUCUCACCGAAUCUGAGUACAACGAGCACAAUUUACCGGAAAUAGGAUCACCCAGCUUCCUAUUCUAUUUUCGUCUAAUGGUCCUCAGCGACGAAAAAUCAGGAUUCCCGAUGCGUCCCUUGACAAAUCUUGUAACAGCUUGGGAAAGCAAUAAGACGUUCGGGGAGAACUUCUCUAUAAUGCUUAGAUGGAAGAGAAGUGUGUACAAAUUACUCUGGAAACACAUGUUAAUCUACUUUCUAGUGUACAUAUUGCUAAGCAUUAUUGACCAAUUCAUCCUCCACGAAAACGGGAAAAGGAACUUCAGAGCUAUGGCCGAACAUUGUUCUCGCUAUUCGGGGAGCAUAAAUCUGAUGGUCAUGUUGGGAUUUUUUACGUCAACAGCCAUGCAACGCUUAUUCUCCAUGCAAACCACAGUACCUGGCACUGCCAAAUCAAUUACCAUAUUCAUCUCGUCAUUGAAACCAGACCUUCUUGAGGGGGCGAUGAUAAUCGAGCAAUUUGCCCGAUGGCAAUUACUCGCAUGGGUUCUUACUUUUCGUCUCGUCUGUCGGCCGCUACGUAAAAUUUACCCCGAUCUUAAGUCUUUGGAAGCUACAGGAUUAUUGACGCCGGAGGAAAGGGGAAUUAUGGAAGACCCCGAUCAGACUAAGCAAAGUACACCUUGCGUCCUCGUUGUUUUCGAUUGGAUGCUGUUGCUAUUAAAGGAAACCUUCAUACAAAAACGUUACUUCAAUGAAAGCAAUUAUCUGAAAAACGUAGACACACUCAUGGCAUUUAAAAAAAGUUGUGGUAACGUGAUUAAAUUUGCCACACAGAACAUUUCUCCUGCCCUAGUACAGGCUGUCGUUUUGUCUGUUUACUGUUUUGGAUGUAUUACUGUCAUGGCCCGUAUGUUUAGUAAGGAAGAUGCUCCAAUCUCUAGCGCCUUCAUUUCCUACGUUCCAGUACUGCCAGCCAUGCAGUUCUUUAUUUAUUUCGCCUGGCUCUGUUUUGGUAAAGCUGCGCUGGAUCCUUUUGGAGAUGACGAAGACGAUAUUGAUGUCCCGCAAAUGGUCAAGCUGCAUAUCGAGAAUGCUGAAAGACUGAAAGGCCUUUACGGCAUGCAUCUCGAGAAAGUUUUUCCUAACUUGCCACAGAAACACUAUAAUUCAGCCCCCGUAUAAGGUAGUUUACGAACUUCAAAUGUGUGCAACAGAUUGCCGAAUGGAUCACAAAAAAAUUAGCAUUUUUCGUUACUUCAGAUAAAGUUCUCUAUACUGUGAUCGGUAAUCGAAAAAAAAAAGCCUACCUUAUCUCUGUAGUUCAAAUCUGAAAAUAUUAAGGCUUCCAUCGAAGUAAAAUGCUUUAUUGACUUUCUGUUUUUAUGUUUUUUUUUCCUUUACUGGUUGAAAAAAAUUCAUGAAUGAAAAAAUUUCUCGUCGCGUAUGACCAGUGAAAUUAGAAAAUUUCACGGAACGAAUGCAAGGAAAAAAAAAUUCAAGUUCGAUCUAAAUUUUGAUUGAUCUUAAAUGUUGCGGAAUCUUUCUUUUAUGUAUUGAGAUAUCGGUAGGAAUCCUUGCCAAAAUUCUGGAUCCCAUAAAAAUAUUACAUCUCUUGGAAUGCAAUGAAAAUCCCUCGUUAUUGUCAAGACAAAACGGUGAUUUUGAAAAUAUAAUUUAUUUCAAUAGAUUUUUCCGAUUUAUUGAAUUCCAAAUCACAAUUUUAAUGCCAACUUUUCCCCCCUAAAAAGUCGGCUUAAAAAACCGCGCUGAUUUCUUUUAUGGGGAGGGGGUGGGUUUCAAGAUCAAGAAAAGGGGCGGUGCCUGAAUUUAGUGUAAGACGGACACUAGAUGUCAGUUUAGGAUUAGUUAUUUAUUUCUGCUGACUUGUCACUUUGUCUUGUCAGCUGAAACGGGAACGACGGUGUGUAAGAGCUCCACCAAGGCGGAGUUAACAAACGUAGUUUGGUCAUAGAAGAAGUUUUUGAUCUACCAUGAAAAGCAUGAAAUCUACCGAAGCCACUAAGAUUAUCCGGGCAGCAAGGUUUUUAGGUUGUCCAUGCAUAAUUUCAUUGCUUGAAAUGUGGUGAAGCAGAAUAAGAUUGUUAUUGGGUUGUAAAUGGUUGUUAUUGGAUUUGUGGUUUUAAAUUUUCAUUGAAACUCCAUCAGCUUCUGUGCAGCAUUUCAACGAAGAUUUGCAUUGCCCUCGUUCUGAAUUAGAAAAUCCGGUCAAAACAUGUUUUUAAAGAAGCCCGACAAAAUGCUUGACCUUUUCCCUUUUUUUUCCAAUAACUCGUAUAUUGCUAUAAAAUUACACGAUUUGGAUUCGAAA